rnacentral:misc_RNA from 1 species
GAUGAAGAACGUAGCGAAAUGCGAUAAGUAAUGUGAAUUGCAGAAUUCAGUGAACCAUCGAAUCUUUGAACGCACAUUGCGCCCGCCAGUAUUCUGGCGGGCAUGCCUGUUCGAGCGUCAUUUCAACCAUCAAGCCCCCGGCUUGUGUUGGGGACCUGCGGCUGCCGCAGGCCCUGAAAACCAGUGGCGGGCUCGCUGUCACACCGAGCGUAGUAGAUUUUCAUCUCGCUCAGGGCGUGCUGCGGGUUCCGGCCGUAAAAAGCCUUAUUUACCCAAGGUUGACCUCGGAUCAGGUAGGAAGACCCGCUGAACUUAAGCAUAUCAAUAAGCGGAGGA